rnacentral:rRNA from 1 species
UACAGAGGUCCCAAGCGUUGUUCGGAUUCACUGGGAGUAAAGGGUGCGUAGGCGGUCGGGUAAGUCUGAUGUGAAAUCUCACAGCUUAACUGUGAAACUGCAUUGGAUACUAUCCGGCUCGAGGAAUGGAGGGGAGACUGGAAUACUUGGUGUAGCAGUGAAAUGCGUAGAUAUCGUGAGGAAGACCAGUGGCGAAGGCGGGUCUCUGGACAGUUCCUGACGCUGAGGCGCGAAGGCCAGGUGAGCAAACGGG